CCAUUAGGCUUAAAAGCAUUCAAUGUAAUAUUUCAAUGGACUAUGGGGUAUCCACCACAUUAUAAUAAUUAUACUCAGCACUAGUCUAGGCCCAAAAAAAAUAAAAUCAACUGCACUCACCAUUGAUGAUUUCAGAGGAGUACCUUUGCUGAUUGCCCAACUGUUGUGAAGGGUACUUUUUCAACGCUGGCCGACGGGGGCCUUCCUCAGGCUGCUGGCUAACAUCGCUAACAGUAUUCCCACAGCUCUAAUAAUCCAAUCAUAGGCGCACUAACCCAAUAACAUGAUUUUCUUCAGUCUCAUGUAAACACACUGAAUGUCUUUCUCUGUGUCUCCAGAUGCCCUCAUUUGGAAGAACAGGUUUGCUACUGCUGCUGUCUCUUGUUAUCUUCAGUGGAAUAGGCUACCUCUGGCUCCCCUCAUAUGAUAUGGUAGAGGUAGAGGACAAGAUUGAAGCCCCGAUGAAAAAGUGGUCCCCGCCCACUGGUCAAGUGAAGCCCGCAGCUUCCUGCACUUGCCCAGCGAAGUCAUAUGAUCUGGCAGGGAGCAUUCCCACUGCCAACCGAGAAGACAUUCAGAAACGACGGGCAGAGGAGUACAAGAAGCACCAGGCUAGAACAAGCUCCAUUUUGAACACACUCCUCUUUGCUCCAUCCAACUCUCCACUGCAGUAUCCCAUUCAGGGUUUCACAGUACGCCCCUUGGUUCCCACUCUUAUUCCAGGUACAGUACGCUGCACUUCAGUGGUUUAA
rnacentral:lncRNA from 1 species